UCAGUGGCAUUAAGUACAUCCACAUUGUUGUGCUAACAUCACCAUCAUCCAUCCACAGAACCCUUUUCAUCUUGCAAAAUGAAACUAUACCCAUUAAGCACUAUCUCCCCAUUUCCCCCUUCUCCCAGCCCUUGGCAAUCACUGUUCUACUUUCUGUCUCUCUGAAUCAGCAAAUACUGUUUUUGUUUUGAGGACUUCAGAGCUCUUCACUACAAAGGAGCAAACAGAACAAACGUAAACGUCAGCAAUGUAACGCCUGUGUAGCAGAAGCUCCACCUUUCCUCUCUUUCCAGAUGGUUUAUUGUCAAUCUGUUGUAGAUGGGGAACACCAGGAAGUGCAGUCUUGCUGUCUCUUAUUCCUGGGGGUGGGGGUGGGGUGUCUUGGCUGCUGCAGGGCUUCAGGUCCUCCGAACCCCCGCCCCCUGCAGCUGGUGAUACCCAGGUCUCCAGCUCUAAUCCACAGAGUGGCCCAUUCUUCAGCCAGUCUUUGCGAGGAUGGAGGACCCUGAAUGAUGACAUGGUUGGUCAUUGCUCCUUUCUCUAGGACCUCCUUCCUUGCUGCUCUUCCUCAGGUGAUACCUACUCAGGACCGUUAUGGAUUUGGGUAGUUGAUUGACCUGCUCAGUAUAGAAGAAGGGAUCAAAGGUUGUAGGUUGAUCCAACUCACUCAUUACCUCAUUUCUCAGAGAUAUUUUCUUUGGGCACUACUCUUAGCGAGAGCAGGCAUCUCUUACCCCUGCCUCUUACUCCUUUUCUCUUCCUUCUCCAGCCCCAUCUUUCAAGCUUCCUGUCCUGGUGACCUGCACCUUCCCUUGGGAAGUGCUGCUUCCAUCCUCUGGGGGGAAAGAUUCUGCUCCCUCAUCCCCUUUUGUGUCUUGCACACUUCAGCUCAUCAGGCUUGUUGGCAGCUAAUGGAGUACCCUUCCUGCGGGGAGGGGGUGGACCCUGGGCCUUGUUGCAUGCAGGAGGCUUGCUGGGCUGGAGAAGUGGGAAACUCAGCAGUCCCUUCUCCCUUGGGGCCUGGAUGGGCUUGGAUGAGCAAGACUUUGAGGAGCACUAAGGGCAGCUUUCAGGCUCUCCCUGAAAGGCUGAAUGGGCCCUGUCCUGGCAGAGGCAUUCACUUCACAGUACUGUGUUUUGUUUUUCAUCACUAGGAUCGCUCUGUAAGACAAGUGUGUGUGUGCACGUGUGUGCGUGUGUGUGUGAAAUUCUUAGAGCUGCCCUCUUUGUUGAGCAAUAAAACUGAAAACCAUCACCAGCUCAGAUUUACAUCCUGAAAUCACAGCCUGUCUGAUAGAGCCUUCCUUAGGUUCAGCCACAGCUUGCUUUAUAGUCAGACGCUGAUACGCUUCACGUUUCUCUUACUGAAGUGACAAGGCACAGGCAGAUUAGGAAUUUAUGGUAAAACAAACUAUUGGAGGCAUUAUACUCACUAGAAUUUCACAUUUAAUUUUGUUAUUUUUACUUUCUUACAUCAGGCCUUUUAAAUCCUGGAAGGACAGCAGACAUUUGGGAUUUUUUUUCUUUUGUUCUGUUUGGAAAUAAAUUCCCUUAGUGUGACAGUUCAGACAAGCUGUUUGGACUGCCACCGUGGAACACUCCGGAGGUGGAUGGGGAGGAGGCCUCUUGACUCCAUGACAGGCAGGCUGGCCUGUCAGAGCUCCUGAUGCCUGCUUUGUGCAGCUAUGUGGAAACAUUUGCUGUAUCUCAAAUGGGUCAGCAGAUGCUUCAACCGAUUACUAUAUGUUUUUGCUGAAAUAAUAAUAGCGCACAUCACAUGUGAGGUUUCCCUGCCUUGUGAUGAUUAGAGCAGGAGCCUGUGGGGUCGGUCUGCCUGGGUUUGGAUACAAGUUUCACUCUGUAUUAGGCAAAUUACUUAGCCCUUUGGUAGCUCUGUUCUUCCAUUUGUAAAAGGGGGAUAAUGGCACCCACUUAUUAGGGUUGUUGUAAAGAUGAUAUGAGUUAAUACCUAAAAAGUGCUGAGGGUAGUGGCUGAGGCAUGGAAAAUGCUCAGUUAAGCUGCUUUUACCAUGACAUCUAAGAGCACCUGAGAGACAAAGCUCUUACUGAAGGUUUUGCUUCUGUGUUAGACAGAAUCAUGGGACAGCAUAAGUAUGAUGUCGAGGUCUUUUAGAUAGGCUGUCUUUUGUGGCGCUCUUCUCUGCAUCUCUCCCCACCUUCCAACCUGGGGUAUUAACAUUCUGCCUCCCCUCAGUGACUCUCAGGAGAGGCCAACCACCCUGAGCUGUAAAUUUCCCAGGGACAUAUGCAUUUUAACAAAGGACAAAAGGAUGAAUAGAAUGGAGGACAGUAUUUGGGGGACUGGCUAAUGACUUCCUAGACCCCUGACCAGAAGUCUAUGAGAAAGGCGGAUGGGGGAAGAGUAAGGAAAGUUGCCCAGUCAUCAAGUGACACCCAAAAUGCACCUUACUGAAGUUAUUUGCCCCACAUAUUUUGCCAAAUAGAGAUUCUUUGCUUUACAAACUCCUCAGGCAUUUGUAUAUCUUAUAUACACGUUUGUAUAAAUUACUUUAGAUAAUUCAGAUUGCUUUCUUCUGAAAAUCUAGCAGAGCUCUGAUUCGGAAGGCCUAGGUGUUUUGUUUGUGGAACAAGGCGGAGGAAGGAAGAUGUGUUGGGAAUGUGGUUCUCCGGAGGAGGGUUGGUUUGGGUGGGGUGCUGUAGUGGGGGCUACGGCCGGAGGCAGCUUGUGAGCCUUGUGUUUCUGAGGGCCAAGGAGAAGGAAAAGGGAAAUGGGGUCAGAAUUCAGAAGAGGUGAAAGUCUGCCAAAGACAGUGCAGGUGGAGAGAUUGUCCUUGGACAUGCCUGGGUCAAACCUCAGCUCUUUUCCAGCUGAUGCCUCUGCAUAUUAGGGCAGUUAUUUCAUUCCCUAAUGAUGGGAUUUUUCUCUUUUGGAGCCUAAUCAACUAUCUGAUGCUAUGACUUAAUUUCUGUGGUUUAACAUUUUUUAUUUCCAAAGAAGAGCAGGAUUUUGGAAAGUGAAUCCCUUUAUUCUUUUAGCAUUUCACUUCUUUCUGGUGUUAAAGGUGGGUAGAGAAGUUUAUUAGUUUGCUAGGGCAGCCGUAACAAAAUGCUGCAAACUGGGUGAUUUAGAACAGAAAUUUAGCAUCUCACAGUUCUGGAGAGCAGAAGUCCGAGGUCAAGAUGUCAGCAAGGCUGGCUCCUUCUGAAGGCUGUGAGGGAGAAAUUUGUUCCAUCUCUCUCUCUUAGCUUCUGGUGGUUGUCUUCUCCCUGUGUGUCCUCACAUUGUCUUCCCUCUAUGCCUGUCUGUUUCUGUGUCCAAAUUUCCCCUUUUUCUAUGGAGACCAGUCACAUUGGUUUAGAGGCCCAUCUUACUCCAGUAUGACUUUAUCUUAACUAAUUACAUUUAUAAUGACCCUAUUUCCCAAUAAAGUCACAUUCUGAGGUACUGGGGUUAGGACAAGGACCAGUUAUCGCCAGCUGCUGUUACUUUGUUGGAGGCAAUAUCAGCAUGUCAUAUGUUUCCAUCUUUCCCUCCAAGGUGUCCGCAUAUCUCGCCACCAUUUAAUAAUAAAUAAAAUUUGAGGAUAAAUUUUGGGGAUGUCUUUACUAGCUUCUCCAUCAUAUGGGCAGGUAUAGACUGUAUUGAACGAGUGUAACACUAUCCCUGGUGCUCCCAGAGCAGCCAUUUCUCUCUCAUACAUUUGACUCAGUGUUCAUGGGCCCAUUUUCAGACAUAAUUGUACAUCUGAAAUUAUGGCAUUAAGCUGACUGUGGUGGAAGGAAGGGGUUUUCAGUUUACCCAGUGGUUUCCAGUUGUCUGAGCAUCUGGACUGCUCUCAAGAAGAGGACCUCUUAUUGGAGUAAAUGUGGGCCUGCUCACCAGACUUCUGAUUUGAAGAGGAUGGUUGGUGCCCACAAGAAACCAAAAGAAGCCAAACAAAACCCAGGACCCCUAGAAAACACUGGUAAGUUUAAGGAGGUAUGCUGCAGAAAAAAACAUGGAAGAACCAUUUGGAAAUUUAUCUAAUUUAAUCCUAUGGUAAGCUCCUUACCACUAAGAAACUCCUUCGAGUGAGUGGAACACAGCAAGUUUUAAAGAACUUUUUACAUUUCUUUGACUGAAGUCUUGUACUGGGAAUUUAUCUUAAGGAGAUGAUUGAACAAGUAAAUAGGGAUUUAUGUAUAAGAAUGUUCAUUUCAGUGUCUUUAUAACAACCAAAACCCAGAAAUCAUUUAAACACCCAAUAGUAGGGGACCAAUUAAAUAAAUUAUGAUGUUAUGUCAAUUCACUGGAAUGUUAUGUAGUUAUUAAAAUGAUGUAGAAUCUAUUGAUAUUGACAUACAUUUAUAAUUUAUUGUUAAAGUUACAGAAUCGUAUGUAUAAAUGCAACAUUUUUAUAGGAAAAAUUGUUUUCACAAGCCUAGAAAAAAGUAUAGAAAGAUAUACAGCAAAAUAUUGAUGGUGAUUAUCUUAGGAGAUUGGGUUAUGAAUUACCUCUAUUAAAAAUAUUUUUCCACAUUUUCUGAAUUUUUUACAAUAAGUAUGCAUUAUUUUUAUAAUAAAAAUUUUAAUGAGUCAAUAUGAAAAUUACCUUUGGAGGCUCUGGAUAGCUACUUUACAUCUGGAAAUUUUGGUUUUCUCAGCUCAAUAGUUCUUGAACAACCGGCCCCAUUUAGAUUCUGACAUCAUAAACCUCUAUACUUUUGAUCAAGAGGCUUACAUUUAAUAAAGCUCAAGGACUACCUACUGCUCCCAGAACUGUUCAAAGCCCAUUUUACCUGGUGAGUUCUGAUCUUCUCUAGAUUGCUGGGGGUACACGCAUGGGAUUGACUAGGAAGGAGCAUGAAGAGGACUUGCUGGAAUGAUGGUCAUGUUCUAUAUCUUAAUACUUACUAGUGGUUUGGGUUACACAACUGUAUGCAUUUAUCAAAGCUUUUCCAAUGAUAUAUUUAAGAUUUGUGUGUUUCAGUGUGUGUAGAUUUUACCAAAAAGGGAAAAAAAAAUCAUACAAAAUGCUUAACUCUAAUUAAAGAUAAUGCAUGCGUAAGUGUCUAGGGACGCAGUGUUUUGAUGUCUGCAACUUACUCUGAAGUGUUUCCAAAAAUCAAGAUGUGUUGAUGAAUGGGUAGAAGGAUAGGUACGUGGAGAUCUAUAUGUGAAAAAGCAAGUUAAUAAAAUGCUAUUUAUGAUAUCUAAAUGGUGGGCAUAUGGUUUUUCACUAUAAAAUUGUUUCAACUUUUCUGGAAGUUUGAAAAUUUUAUAAUAAAAUGUUGAUAAAAAAGUAUUUGACAAUUGUUACUGAGUGUGCAAUUUGUUCUGACUUCUUCCUGUCACAGAUUAGUUUUGCCUAUUCUGGAAUUUACAGUUAGAAUAGUUCUAGGAUAACACAACUGCUUUUGAGAAUGAAAGGGAGUUUUUCUUUUAUUAGUAACACUGUAAAUUUCUGAGAUGAUGAAACGUGGCCCUCAGGGUUCUAAAGUACAUAGAAUCAUAGAUUAUUAUCAGUGGGUAUUGUCCUGGGCAGAGCAGUAGUUUACCUCUGGGUCUGGUCGACAAGAGAUAGCUUGAACUAUGUUCUUGGGCAAGUCACUUCCAUUAAAUUUUCUCCUUUGUGGAAUGAAAAGUGAAAAGCUUUUGGAAGGGAACCUGGUGAGCAAUCAAAUAAACACAAGUUUGCAAGUGUCUGGCCAAAGAUUAUUUGUUAGUCAGCUGAAAGCAAGGAGACACUCUGCUGGCUGGCUGCCCCCAGGGACAGGGGCACAUCCUGCACAGAGGCCCCAGCUGGGAAGGAGGGGCAGGGGAAGAACAGUGACCCUCAAGGAGGGGUGGGCAGGCCACGGACCACUUCACCUUAGGCAUUUCUUUUUUUCUCUUUUUCUCCCUUUGCCUUCUCUGUCCUCUUGACCUUUAAUUUCCUUUCUUUUCUUUCUCUUCCUUUUCUGUCAUUCCCCUGUGGCAGCCAAACAUUUUGGUGCCUUUGCUUGCAGCUCCUACAGUCGGCCAGACGCUCUAGGCUUUGGGGUGUUUCCUUCCCACAGCCCUCUGGAGAGUGUAACGACAAUUUCUCCACACCCACUGGGUUGCUCGGCUUUGCCGUCCCACUUAGCAGGGCUGGGGAAGUGAGAGCUGCUAACCCGCCGAGGCUGUGAGUCAGCAUUUCUCCCCAUGGACGCAGGCCUGGGGAGAGACCCUGGGAGAGGAUGUGGAGGAGGCAUGAAUGCAGGCCUGGUGUCCCUCUUCUCUGCUGUGAUCUUACCUGGGGAUGUAUAUCAGUUUAUCAUGCCAUGUUGUAUUAAAAGAAUCCAUGAACAGAGGAGAACCCUGAGACCAGAAGACUUAUAUUAUGAAUCUCACAUUACAUUGUAAUUAUUUUGUCUUUAAAUAAUUAAUUGUCUUUUAAUGAAUUAAAUGAUUAAGAGGU